rnacentral:rRNA from 1 species
GCAUAAGCCCACGGCUCGGCAUCGAGCAGAGGGAAAAGGAGCAAUCCGCUUUGAGAUGGCCUCGCGUCCGAUUAGCUAGUUGGUGAGGUAAUGGCCCACCAAGGCGACGAUCGGUAGCCGGACUGAGAGGUUGAACGGCCACAUUGGGACUGAGACACGGCCCAGACUCCUACGGGAGGCAGCAGUGGGGAAUAUUGCACAAUGGGGGAAACCCUGAUGCAGCGACGCCGCGUGGAGGAAGAAGGUCUUCGGAUUGUAAACUCCUGUUGUUGAGGAAGAUAAUGACGGUACUCAACAAGGAAGUGACGGCUAACUACGUGCCAGCAGCCGCGGUAAAACGUAGGUCACAAGCGUUGUCCGGAAUUACUGGGUGUAAAGGGAGCGCAGGCGGGAAGACAAGUUGGAAGUGAAAUCCAUGGGCUCAACCCAUGAACUGCUUUCAAAACUGUUUUUCUUGAGUAGUGCAGAGGUAGGUGGAAUUCCCGGUGUAGCGGUGGAAUGCGUAGAUAUCGGGAGGAACACCAGUGGCGAAGGCGGCCUACUGGGCACCAACUGACGCUGAGGCUCGAAAGUGUGGGUAGCAAACAGGAUUAGAUACCCUGGUAGUCCACACUGUAAACGAUGAUUACUAGGUGUUGGAGGAUUGACCCCUUCAGUGCCGCAGUUAACACAAUAAGUAAUCCACCUGGGGAGUACGACCGCAAGGUUGAAACUCAAAGGAAUUGACGGGGGCCCGCACAAGCAGUGGAGUAUGUGGUUUAAUUCGACGCAACGCGAAGAACCUUACCAAGUCUUGACAUCCUGCGACGGACAUAGAAAUAUGUUUUUCCUUCGGGACGCAGAGACAGGGUGGUGCAUGGUUGUCGUCAGCUCGAGUCGUGAGAUGUUGGGUUAAGUCCCGCAACGAGCGCAACCCUUAUGGUCAGUUACUACGCAAGAGGACUCUGGCCAGACUGCCGUUGACAAAGCGGAGGAAGGUGGGGAUGACGUCAAAUCAUCAUGCCCUUUAUGACUUGGGCUACACACGUACUACAAUGGCGUUAAACAAAGAGAAGCAAGACCGCGAGGUGGAGCAAAACUCAGAAACAACGUCCCAGUUCGGACUGCAGGCUGCAACUCGCCUGCACGAAGUCGGAAUUGCUAGUAAUCGCAGAUCAGCAUGCUGCGGUGAAUACGUUCCCGGGCCUUGUACACACCGCCCGUCACACCAUGAGAGCCGGGGGGACCCGAAGUCGGUAGUCUAACCGCAAGGAGGACGCCGCCGAAGGUAAAACUGGUGAUUGGGGUGAAGUCGUAACAAGGUA